AUGAACGCUGGCGGCGUGCCUAAUACAUGCCCGUCGAGCGAACAGAUGAGGAGCUUGCUCCUCUGACGUUAGCGGCGGACGGGUGAGUAACACGUGGAUAACCUACCUAUAAGACUGGGAUAACUUCGGGAAACCGGAGCUAAUACCGGAUAAUAUAUUGAACCGCAUGGUUCAAUAGUGAAAGACGGUUUUGCUGUCACUUAUAGAUGGAUCCGCGCCGCAUUAGCUAGUUGGUAAGGUAACGGCUUACCAAGGCGACGAUGCGUAGCCGACCUGAGAGGGUGAUCGGCCACACUGGAACUGAGACACGGUCCAGACUCCUACGGGAGGCAGCAGUAGGGAAUCUUCCGCAAUGGGCGAAAGCCUGACGGAGCAACGCCGCGUGAGUGAUGAAGGUCUUCGGAUCGUAAAACUCUGUUAUUAGGGAAGAACAAAUGUGUAAGUAACUAUGCACGUCUUGACGGUACCUAAUCAGAAAGCCACGGCUAACUACGUG
rnacentral:rRNA from 1 species